AAAUGUCAAGCAAGUUACGCUAAAUAUCAGGUCAAAGGUAAUCGAGGCCUUAAGUAAUUGGCUUCGCUCUGACGAAGGGCUAACGCUCGAAACGUCAGCUUGUAAAAUAUCUACGUUAUCAACUCCUUGAUAAUACAAAAUUACCCUGUUAUACUCUCCCACCGACGCAGCACCACAGUUUCUUCAGAAACUAACCUCCCUUAGUAAGUUUAUUCAUAGUUUGUGUAAGUAUUUCCGCUCAAGUGACCGUUCAAUACAUGUGAAAGACAGUGUAAACAGGCUGUUGGGUUCAGUCAUGGGUGACCACGACCGCUUAAUAGAGAUGACCGCUUAGUAGAGGUGAAAGUUACAGUACUUGAGGGAAAAAGCCAAAAAUUUUCCUUGAAAACCGACCGCUAAAUACAGGGUAAUUGCGUGAUAUAGUGCCGCUAAAUACAGGUUCGAAUAAAGUUCUAAGCUGGAAAUUCUUUGUUUCCCAACCACUUAUCAUCAAAAAUAGACAGGAGGGUGACAAAUAUGCAAACAAAUAAUAUUAAAACUGUGAAUGUGGAGAUGGCCCGAAAACUUACUUCCUGUAAAACAGAACUAAGAAAAAGUUAUAGUAAUUCAAAACAAAACAUUCUCAGUAAGAUAAGGAAAAAACCAUAUAUAUUGAAUUAAAAAAACAUCUUUGCACUUGUCUUCAGAAUAUCUGUACUUAAAAGAUGACCAGAGUGCCAUAAAAAACAUCCAUAUCGUCAUUUGGUUUAUUAAUAUCAUUACAUCUUACAAAAGAACUGAGCUGAAACAUCCUAUCUGCAAAGAUAUUAACAUCAACAGUCUUCAGUUCUAAAUCCUUUGUAGUGUUUUCUUACACGCAAGCAAUAAACAAAUAUCUGUUAGGUCCUUCGUAUAAGAUGACAAGUUCAACUGAACAGCUUUUCUAUCAGUGAGAUUCUGGUAAAGUUCAAUCUCCUCUUGAUCAUUCCUUGUCGGAUUUCAAGAGAGUGUCACACAAGGUAUCAUGGCUUUCAUUGUUGUGCUUUUGCAGUUCUAUGUAAGAUAUAGGAAGGAAAAUAAAUUGUUGCCAUCUUUGACAAUUAA